rnacentral:rRNA from 1 species
ACUCCUACGGGAGGCAGCAGUGGGGAAUUUUGCGCAAUGGGGGAAACCCUGACGCAGCGACGCCGUGUGAGUGAUGAAGGCCUUCGGGUCGUAAAGCUCUGUCGAAGGGGAAGAAAUGCGGGGUGCUAAUACCACUUUCGCUUGACGGUACCCUGGAAGGAAGCACCGGCUGACUCCGUGCCAGCAGCCGCGGUAAUACGGAGGGUGCGAGCGUUGUUCGGAAUCAUUGGGCGUAAAGCGCGUGUAGGCGGCUUGUCAGGUCUGAUGUGAAAGCCCCGGGCUCAACCCGGGAAGCGCAUUGGAAACUGGCAGACUUGAAUACGGGAGAGGGUAGUGGAAUUCCUAGUGUAGGAGUGAAAUCCGUAGAUAUUAGGAGGAACACCGGUGGCGAAGGCGGCUACCUGGACCGAUAUUGACGCUGAGACGCGAAAGCGUGGGGAGCAAACAGGAUUAGAUACCCUGGUAGUCCACGCCGUAAACGAUGAGAACUAGGUGUUGCGGGUA